GCCGGGCGCCGGGCCCGAGGAGCGGCGGAGGCCGCGGCGGCACCGCCGCCACGGUCGCGGACGAGUGCGGCGCCGGUGAGCGCGGCCCAGAGGCGGCGGCGGCAGAUCUAUCCAUACUAAUGGAAACGUAACUGGAACUGACUCUGAUGAUAAAAUCAAGGACCAUCAAGCAAGAUCAUGCAGUAGGCAACUUCGCUUCCACAUGAAGUUACCAACAUUUAGAAUUUCUACUUAUUCUAAGAUUCCAAUUACAGCGACAUCAGAGAAUGAGUUAAUCUCCUCAGAAAUCACUAAAUACUACUCUGAGGGGCUUAGAAAUUAACAGGGUAAGUUGAAUAUCAUUUUCAAUACUAUCUGAAUUUUUACAGUGAAUUCCUCAUUUGGGCCUAUAGUAUGUCAGGAAACAAGUUGGACACUGGGAAGAAGAUUCUUACUUUUAUUUUUCAUGCCUGUAGUGGUUUUCAGCUUUCUUUUGAAUCAGGGCCCCUUUGAGAGUCUACUUAAAUCUGUGUAGAUCUUUUCACAAACAUUCACACAUGUUCAGUCAGAGUUGGAAGAUCUUCAGAAAUUUCCUAAAGUUCACAGACCCUUGGGCAACCCUGUGCUUUGCAGUUUUUCAGACAUUUUUGCAGGCUUUGUUUCUCUUUUAAAUAUUACAACUCUAUGAAUUAAUUACUGGUAUUGAUAUUUUACAUCGAAGAAACCGGUGCUCAAAAUGGUAUGUGACUUUUCUUGUAAUGCAGCUGUCAAAUGUGAGGCUAGGAUUGAAGACUUUCCCAAAUUUUAAUAAUACUGUCGGCUUUUUUUAAGGUUCUUUCUUCUUAAUAUGUCAGAUUGCUCCUUAGUAAGAUUGUGUCAACCUUUGCUCAUUGUCAGCAAGUGAGCAUGUCUGCUUCACCACGUUAUCCCAUUGGGUAUUCCCCCACCCUAGUGUUUGCUAAAUUGGCAUGUAGAUAAUUGCAUUUCAUUUUAAUUUGUUUCUUUGUUGUAUUUAGAGUUCUCUAU
rnacentral:lncRNA from 1 species